rnacentral:rRNA from 1 species
AUGGCGAAAUCCUGGCUGCUGCAGUUCUGCUUGGCGUUUCUCUUGCCGGCGGCAAGCGCGACGUGCCACCCCGACGACCUACGUGGGCUGCGGGGCUUGGCUCGGAACCUCAGGGGUGGUGGUGCCGCCCACCUCCGCAGCGUAUGGUCUGGCGCCUCGUGCUGCGAUUGGGAAGGUGUGGGCUGCCAUGGUGCCAGCGGCCGCGUCAGAGCUCGGCUCCAUGGUCACGGCCUCGCGGGGCCCAUCCCAGGAGCCUCCCUUGCCGGCCUCACAAGGUUGGAAGAGCUCUUCCUCGGCUCCAACUCUUUCGCGGGCACCCUUCCCGACGCGCUCUUCGGCCUUGCUGGGCUGCGGAGGCUCUCCCUCGCAUCUAACAACCUCGCCGGUCAACUGAGCUCGCGCCUCGGUGACCUCAGAAACCUCACCUUGUUGGAUUUGUCCAUCAACCGCUUCUCCGGCCACCUCCCUGACAACAUGUUCCAUGACCUCAUGUCGCUCGAGCAUUUGGUUGCACACUCCAAUGGCUUCUUCGGAUCACUGCCACCGUCCCUGUCAUCUCUCCGUGAGCUCAACCUCCGGAAUAACUCUCUGUCUGGUCCGAUUUCUCACGUCAACUUCUCUGGCAUGCCGCUUCUUGCUUCGGUUGACUUGAGCGCAAACUACCUGAAUGGGUUGCUGCCAGUUAGCCUUGCCGAUUGCGGCCAGCUAAGGUCGCUCAGCCUUGCCAACAACAGAUUGGUCGGCACCAUCCCGUCCUGGAUUGGUGAGCUUGACCACCUUCACUACUAG